AAUGUAUGACGCCGUUGAUUUUUAUCCAACGUUUGACUAUUUGUCUUAUUAAAAAAAUUUAUGUAAUUAUUAUUUAUUUUAUUAUGACUUAAUUUAUCAUCAAAUGUUCUUUAAGCAUGACAUAAAUAUUUUCAUAUUUGUACAAAAAUUUUGAAUAAAACGAAUGGUCAAACGUUGAUCGAAAAAUCAACGGCGUCAUACAUU
rfam:Oryza glaberrima chromosome 8 Oglab08_0034_1, whole genome shotgun sequence.